CCCAAAAGACUGGCGACCGGCGCACGGGUGAGUAACACGUAUCCAACCUGCCGAUAACUCGGGGAUAGCCUUUCGAAAGAAAGAUUAAUACCCGAUGGUAUAAUCAGACCGCAUGGUUUGAUUAUUAAAGAAUUUCGGUUAUCGAUGGGGAUGCGUUCCAUUAGGCAGUUGGUGAGGUAACGGCUCACCAAACCUUCGAUGGAUAGGGGUUCUGAGAGGAAGGUCCCCCACAUUGGAACUGAGACACGGUCCAA
rnacentral:rRNA from 1 species